rnacentral:miRNA from 1 species
CAGCAGACACAUUCCAGCCAAUCAGCAGCAGACCCUCCCUCCCAGACCCUCCAACCUCCUGGACAGCAUCCAUUUUACAUUCAUUGUGAAGCUGCAUUCUUAGUGAGCUGUCCAGGAGGUGGGAGGGUCUGGGAGGGAGGGUCUGCUGCUGAUUGGCUGGAAUGUGUCUGCUG